rnacentral:tRNA from 1 species
GCUUAUUGGGUUAAGCAUUUGGCUACUAACCAAAAGGUUGGCAGUUUGAAUCCGCC